AGAUGUUAAAAGCAAGAGACAUGGGAGAGCGUUAUUCCUUUGAGAUUUUAUAACUCAAACCAACUUUGGAGUUGUCUGAUUUGGAGAGUCAUUAUUCUUGGUCUUCGUUCUUAAAGGCCACUGAUGAAGAACAGGCGGUGACUGGGAUGAAUGCUGGUCAGAGAGGAGAAUCUUCUUUCCCCUAAACAGCGGUGGUUUUAAAGGAGGACGCUGCCCUGGAUGAUGUAGAAGAUGUCACAUGCUGUGCUGAUGGGGUUUCUUCAUGAUUACAUCAGUUAUGCUAAAGAGAUCAUGAAAAUUGACUGUGAUGCAUGAUCUGUAUUCAUGGACUAUGAAACAAACUGUAAGUGUAUAAUUUGUUAAAAAAAAAAGUUAAAUGCUUUUUCUGUGUUUAGUAGAAGAGUUUACACUCUGUCAUUCAUACACCUGUCACAUUCUUUCACACACACACACACAUGCGUCUGUUGAAUGUUAUAAUAUCAAAGUUAAUGUUGUGAUUUAUUUGUGUACUGUCAUGCCAGAAUAGUUGGAAAAAAACCUAACUAAUUGUAAAUUUAUUGUAUGUGUUUUCGUAUAUUUUUAUACAAUGUAUAAAAUUGAACAAAGUCCAAUUUGAUCUUAAGUUAUAUUCAUCAAAUGUUCAAUGCUUUGUUUAUGAACUCUGUAGCUGUUAAUGCCAUCCUUUUCUGCAUUUCUUCUAACAUGUUACUUUUUGACUUUUCUCUUGUUUUUAAUAAAUAUUUUCCUCUUGAUAAUUAUUAUUUGUGUGUAAAAGUGAUAUUUAAAAUGAACAACAUUUGUAGGUUUAAUGCCUAGCUCAAUUUGGGUUAAUUUUAACGUAGAAAUGCAUUGUUUCCCCACAUGGCUGCACUCUGCGAGUUUAUUUUCUGCCAGCAGGAGGCGCUAAGAGCGGGAGAGGUAGGUUUCUCCGGUAACGGCUGCAGAGCGGUACUGAGCUCACAAACGCUGCCUUAUCAA